CACCACAACGGGUGGAGCUUGCGGUUUAAUUGGAUUCAACGCCGGAAAUCUUACCGGGACCGACAGCAAUAUGAAGGCCAGGCUGAAGACUUUGCCGGAUUAGCUGAGAGGUGGUGCAUGGCCGUCGUCAGUUCGUACUGUGAAGCAUCCUGUUAAGUCAGGCAACGAGCGAGACCCACGCCCACAGUUGCCAGCGUACUCUCUGGAGUGACGGGUACACUGUGGGACCGCCGCUGCUAAAGCGGAGGAAGGAAUGGGCAACGGUAGGUCAGUAUGCCCCGAAUAUCCCGGGCUACACGCGAGCUACAAUGGUUGGUACAAUGGGUAUCUACCCCGAAAGGGGACGGGAAUCUCCUAAAACCAAUCUUAGUUCGGAUUGAGGGCUGCAACUCGCCCUCAUGAAGCUGGAAUCCGUAGUAAUCGCGUUUCAACAGAACGCGGUGAAUACGUCCCUGCUCCUU
rnacentral:rRNA from 1 species